rnacentral:misc_RNA from 1 species
GAUGAAGAACGUAGCGAAAUGCGAUACUUGGUGUGAAUUGCAGAAUCCCGUGAACCAUCGAGUCUUUGAACGCAAGUUGCGCCUCAAGCCAUUAGGUUGAGGGCGCGUCUGCCUGGGCGUCACAUAUCGUUGCCUGAUGCCAGUUUCCUCGUGAUGGGUGACUGUGCAGGGCGAAUGAUGGCUUCCCGUGAGCAUUGUUGCCUCAUGGUUGGUUGAAAAUUGAGUCCUUGGUAGGGAGCGCCGUGAUAGAUGGUGGUUGAGUGACGAACGAGACCCAAUCAUGUGAGACCCCUACCGAAUUUGGCCUUCAUGACCCACAUGCGUCUUUGGAACGCUCAUGACGAGACCUCAGGUCAGGCGGGGCUACCCGCUGAGUUUAAGCAUAUCAAUAAGCGGAGGA